UACGAAGGGGGCUAGCGUUGCUCGGAAUCACUGGGCGUAAAGGGUGCGUAGGCGGGUCUUUAAGUCAGGGGUGAAAUCCUGGAGCUCAACUCCAGAACUGCCUUUGAUACUGAAGAUCUUGAGUCCGGGAGAGGUGAGUGGAACUGCGAGUGUAGAGGUGAAAUUCGUAGAUAUUCGCAAGAACACCAGUGGCGAAGGCGGCUCACUGGCCCGGUACUGACGCUGAGGCACGAAAGCGUGGGGAGCAAACAGG
rnacentral:rRNA from 1 species